GAUGAACGCUGGCGGCGUGCCUAACACAUGCAAGUCGAACGGAGAUUUAACGCUGACGAGACUUCGGUCAAAUCUUGUUAAAUCUUAGUGGCGGACGGGUGAGUAACGCGUGGGCAACCUGCCUCAUACUGGGGGAUAGCAGUUGGAAACGACUGAUAAUACCGCAUAAGCGCACAGUGUCGCAUGACACAGUGUGAAAAACUCCGGUGGUAUGAGAUGGGCCCGCGUCAGAUUAGCUAGUUGGUAAGGUAACGGCUUACCAAGGCGACGAUCUGUAGCCGGACUGAGAGGUCGGACGGCCACAUUGGGACUGAGACACGGCCCAAACUCCUACGGGAGGCAGCAGUGGGGGAUAUUGCACAAUGGAGGAAACUCUGAUGCAGCGACGCCGCGUGAGUGAAGAAGUAUUUCGGUAUGUAAAGCUCUAUCAGCAGGGAAGAAAGACUCGCAAGAGAGAUGAC
rnacentral:rRNA from 1 species